UACAGAGGGGGCAAGCGUUGUUCGGAAUUACUGGGCGUAAAGGGCGCGUAGGCGGCCUGUUAAGUCGAACGUGAAAUCCCUGGGCUCAACCCAGGAACUGCGUCCGAUACUGGUUGGCUUGAAUCCGGGAGAGGGAUGUGGAAUUCCAGGUGUAGCGGUGAAAUGCGUAGAUAUCUGGAGGAACACCGGUGGCGAAGGCGACAUCCUGGACCGGUAUUGACGCUGAGGCGCGAAAGCCAGGGGAGCAAACGGG
rnacentral:rRNA from 1 species